UGGGGAAUAUUGGGCAAUGGGGGAAACCCUGACCCAGCAACGCCGCGUGAGGGAAGAAGGUCUUCGGAUCGUAAACCUCUGUCCUCAAUGAAGAGCAGCAGACGGUAAUUGAGGAGGAAGCCCCGGCUAACUACGUGCCAGCAGCCGCGGUAAUACGUAGGGGGCUAGCGUUAUCCGGAAUUACUGGGCGUAAAGGGUGCGUAGGCGGUCUUUCAAGCCAGAAGUGAAAGGCUACGGCUCAACCGUAGUAAGCUUUUGGAACUGUAAGACUUGAGUGCAGGAGAGGAGAGUGGAAUUCCUAGUGUAGCGGUGAAAUGCGUAGAUAUUAGGAGGAACACCAAUAGCGAAGGCGGCUCUCUGGACUGUAACUGACGCUGAGGCACGAAAGCGUGGGGAGCAAACAGG
rnacentral:rRNA from 1 species